UACGAAGGGUGCAAGCGUUACUCGGAAUUACUGGGCGUAAAGCGUGCGCAGGCGGUUGUGCAAGACAGAUGUGAAAUCCCCGGGCUCAACCUGGGAAUUGCAUUUGUGACUGUACGGCUAGAGUGUGUCAGAGGGGGGUAGAAUUCCACGUGUAGCAGUGAAAUGCGUAGAGAUGUGGGGAAGAUCCGAUGGCGAAGGCAGCCCCCUGGGAUAACACUGACGCUCAUGCACGAAAGCGUGGGGAGCAAACAGG
rnacentral:rRNA from 1 species